rnacentral:rRNA from 1 species
AUUGAACGCUGGCGGCAGGCCUAACACAUGCAAGUCGAGCGGAUGAAGGGAGCUUGCUCCUGGAUUCAGCGGCGGACGGGUGAGUAAUGCCUAGGAAUCUGCCUGGUAGUGGGGGAUAACGUCCGGAAACGGGCGCUAAUACCGCAUACGUCCUGAGGGAGAAAGUGGGGGAUCUUCGGACCUCACGCUAUCAGAUGAGCCUAGGUCGGAUUAGCUAGUUGGUGGGGUAAAGGCCUACCAAGGCGACGAUCCGUAACUGGUCUGAGAGGAUGAUCAGUCACACUGGAACUGAGACACAGUCCAGACUCCUACGGGAGGCAGCAGUGGGGAAUAUUGGACAAUGGGCGAAAGCCUGAUCCAGCCAUGCCGCGUGUGUGAAGAAGGUCUUCGGAUUGUAAAGCACUUUAAGUUGGGAGGAAGGGCAGUAAGUUAAUACCUUGCUGUUUUGACGUUACCAACAGAAUAAGCACCG